AGAGUAAAAUAGUACGUGAAAUUGUUGAAAGGGAAACGAUUGAAGUCAGUCGUACCGACGGAAAAUCAACUCUUCGAGUGCGGACUUUGUGGACGUGCGUGAGCUUUAACGGCCUCGCUGUUUGUAACGUUUGUGCUUUUUGGGUGUACUUUUUCGUAUGGUAGGCCAACAUCAGUUUUGAUCGCUAUAAAAUGACUGGAGGAAUGUAGCUUCGAUCUCGUAUUGAAGUGUUAUAGCCUUUGGUAGAUGUGAUGAUCGGGAUUGAGGAUUGCAACGGAUACCCUUCGGGGCUACUCGUCUGAUCUCUGAAAGUUGCUCUGGUGCUGAAAGCUUGCUUAUGGUCAUUUAAGUUUGACGGUCAAAAGGUUAGAACGUGAUUACAUUCGUUAAGGAUGUUGGCGUAAUGGCUUUAAACGACC
rnacentral:rRNA from 1 species